GAUGAACGCUGGCGGCGUGCCUAACACAUGCAAGUCGAACGGGGUAUUGCGGAAAGCGGCUUCGGCCAAUGGAAGCAAUACUUAGUGGCGGACGGGUGAGUAACGCGUGAGCAACCUGCCUCUGACCGGGGGAUAGCAGCUGGAAACGGCUGGUAAUACCGCAUAAGCCCACAGCACCGCAUGGUGCAGGGGGAAAAACUCCGGUGGUCAGAGAUGGGCUCGCGUCUGAUUAGCCAGUUGGCGGGGUAACGGCCCACCAAAGCGACGAUCAGUAGCCGGCCUGAGAGGGCGGACGGCCACAUUGGGACUGAGACACGGCCCAAACUCC
rnacentral:rRNA from 1 species